AUGUUGUGCCGCCAGCUGCUGCUGCUGCUGCUCUAUGGUCAGCGAUGGCAUUCUCCCCGUAGCCGAAGUCCCUGCCAGCUUUUGCUUCGCCAUUGCCAAGCUGCUUCUCCCGUAUCAGCUCCAGAAGGGAAAGCCGUGGCACGUCGCCGACAGGCGCGGUCGGCUUUUUUCCGCUCAGGCGCUGCGCCAGGGUCUUCUGCUUCGUGUCACGGCCUCCCUGCUGUGCCUUCUGUUCUUCAUCUUGAUGUUGCACUGAUGUCUUCUCAUCUUCGUCUUGAUAUUGCUCUGAUGGCUUCUCAUCCCCAUCUUGGCAUUGUUUGCAUGUCUUCUCUUCCUCGUCUUCGCACUUCUCUGGUGCCGUUUGCUCCUCAACAUGGCAUUCCUCUGGUGCCUUCUCAUCUUGGUAUUGUUGUGCUAUCUUUUGCUCUUCACCAAGAUAUUGCUCCGGUAUGUUUUGCUCAUCCCCUUCCUCCUCCUCGUCUUGGUAUUGCUCUUCUAUGUUUUGCUCCUCCUCCUCGGUCUCCAACUCCUCAUCUUGGUAUUGCUCUGGUGUCUUUUGAUCCUCCUCCAACUCCUCACCUUGGUACUGCUCUGGUAUGUUUUGCUCCUCCUCCUCUUCCUCCAACUCCUUAUCUUGGUAUUGCUUCGGUGUCUUUUGAUCCUCAUCUAGGCAUUGCUCUGGCGCAUCAUCAUCUUGCUGUUGCUGUUCUGUCUCCUCCUCAUCUUGAUAUUGCUCUGGUAUGUUCUGCUCCUCAUCUUGGUGCAGAUGUGGUUUCUUCUCCUGCUCUUCAUCUUCAUAUUGCUGCGGUUUCUUCUCUUGCUCAUCUUGAUAUUGCUCUGGUGCCUUCUUCUCAACACCUUCACACUCCUGUGGUGCCAGUGGAAUCUCCAGCUGCUGCUCUGCAUCUUCACAUUGCUGAGGUGCCUGCAGCUCUUUUGUAUCUUCGCACCGGAGCAAUCUCUUCAGCUUGGCCUCGUGGAGCAGCUGUCGUGCCAGGGGCGGCACAUACCGAUCUUCAUAACAAGCGACGAGGCUCACUGGUUUUCGUGUCCGCCUCGACAUGCCGCGAUCGAAGCGGCGGGAUUUGUUCACCUCACACUCGGUGGCCAUUGUUUGUGGUCUAG
rnacentral:rRNA from 1 species